CUCCGGGGUGCUGAUGCCACGCUGGCAAAGGCUGAGAUUAUACCCAUAGAACCUGAUGCGGGUAAUGCCGUCGUAGGAAAUAGAAGUA
rnacentral:ncRNA from 1 species